CAACCAUCACCAAAUCCCAAAAUCAACUACCCAGCAGUUCAGCUUCCCAUUCCAUCCAUCUCUUCUCUUAUCCAAAUCUUCCUUAAAUCCCGAAUUCACCUAAUCCCUAUUCCUUCUGUUUUUCCUUAUCUGCUCUUUCAUACAUCUCUAUUUAUUCAUCUUCCCUGAUUUUGUGGCAUUUGAUGAUCUGAAGCCAAAAAUGUGGAAAGCGUACGGUGCCAGAUUGAAGGCACCAUAAUCUCCUUGGUUUCACUGCGAUACUCAACAUUAUGUCUCCAGAAAGUUAGAAUUUUCUUUGAAAACUCAAAGAAAUUCAUGAAUAAGAUUUGGGUAGUUUCGGAGCAAUUGAAGGAUGGGGACAGUAAGAGUGACAGUUUUAAUGGCGUCUUUGAGAAAUUCACCAUCUGCACAGUAGGAUGAGAGGGAGAUCGUGACUCAGAAUCCUGAGGAUACAGAAUCUGAUGUUGCACAAUCAGUAAUUGUUCAUGGUAUUGAAGUAAUUGUAGAAUUCAAAACUGUUGAACGUCCAAUCGAACCUCUUGAAUUGUUACUCUUUUUUGUUUAACGUAAAUGUGAGUCUUUUGAAUCGUUAGUCUCUUUUGUUUAACGUAAAUGUGAGUCUUGUGUUAAUGAUCUCUUUAAUUCUCUUUGUUGUUUUUACUAUUUUGUGGGCUGUUUAAGUUCUACUAUGUAUUUGAGUAAAGAUUUGUCCAUCAAGAUUACUAUUUUAUUCAUAAAUUUAGUUGUUUGUUUGAUUC